CAUGGGUGCAUGUUACAAGUCCGGAACAUAUUUUAACUUAGUACUAACUUAGCAUCAUAUUUGAUCUGAUUCGACUGAAUAUCCCAGGUUUCCAUCUCUCAUGCAUCUGGUGUGACGUGUUUUCAGACUCUCAGGCUGGCGCAAAGAAAUCUUACGGGAAUUGAACGUCUCACUCCGGUCAGCUGAGCAAAGUUGGUAACCUUGGUAUUGUGUGUAGGAGAUUCGGUAUAACUAUAAUUUCGUUCUCCAUUUACAUGCCCGUAGUGUCUUUAAGUGUUAUGUAGUUUUGCCUGAAACGCAAAAAUAAAACAAAGCAAUUAAAGCCGAUCACUGGCUGAAAUUCUGCUGUAGCGAUUGAAGAACUUUUGUCGGAAGUUGGAUUCGAACCCACGCCUUACUUCGGAGAACGGAAUACCCCUUACUUUGAAAGGCCAUUUUCGCUGCGCAGGAGGCUUAAGACCGCUCGGCCAUGGGGCAGUUUCCAGUUGAACCCUAAGGAGUAGGUUAAGUCCAGCCUUGGCUUCCAAGCUGACGUUUUUCUACAUAUGUGCUUGUGUAUCAUGGACAGUAAGAGGGGGCAGGCAAGGAGAGAAUUUCUCUCUUUGGGGAUCAAUAGAGUGUUGUUAUUAUAACGUCUAAAACGUAUGAUGGUCUGUCGAUAAAUCAAUAACAAUAUCAAUGAAGUCAAUGUUUAUCUAAAGAAAUCAGAAUUCAGGAAAAGCCAGGGGCCGGACCGAGUGUAGGGGGCGUGGCCAGAGACAGCCUGCCGACUGUUCCAAAUCAUGGGUGCAUGUUACAAGUCCGGAACAUAUUUUAACUUAGUACUAACUUAGCAUCAUAUUUGAUCUGAUUCGACUGAAUAUCCCAGGUUUCCAUCUCUCAUGCAUCUGGUGUGACGUGUUUUCAGACUCUCAGGCUGGCGCAAAGAAAUCUUACGGGAAUUGAACGUCUCACUCCGGUCAGCUGAGCAAAGUUGGUAACCUUGGUAUUGUGUGUAGGAGAUUCGGUAUAACUAUAAUUUCGUUCUCCAUUUACAUGCCCGUAGUGUCUUUAAGUGUUAUGUAGUUUUGCCUGAAACGCAAAAAUAAAACAAAGCAAUUAAAGCCGAUCACUGGCUGAAAUUCUGCUGUAGCGAUUGAAGAACUUUUGUCGGAAGUUGGAUUCGAACCCACGCCUUACUUCGGAGAACGGAAUACCCCUUACUUUGAAAGGCCAUUUUCGCUGCGCAGGAGGCUUAAGACCGCUCGGCCAUGGGGCAGUUUCCAGUUGAACCCUAAGGAAGUGCAAAACUGGGAUGUCCAUCUACCAUGCCUGGGAUUUUACCUGCUCGGCACCCUCAGAUAGCAGAGCACAAGAAGCAGGUAACCAACAGGUGCUGGGACUGCUUACUGGAUGGUGUACAGAAAAGGCAGACUCAGGUGCAGGGGCCUGGAAAACCUGAAACAGGAAGUAGGACCAAGGAAACGGGAAGUCGGGCUGAAACACAAAAACAGGAUAACCACAACAAUUCUAAUAAGGUGAUCCAGCUCACAGGAUCCUCAUUGGCCAAGAGGAUGCUCCUCGUGACACAUGGCUGCAGCAGAUAGACGACCAUUUCCGGAGGGUGGGACUGGAUCUCGAGACAUCAGGUGCACCAGUGCAUGCUCCCCAACCUGACCUGACCUGUGCAUAUAUGUAACAGACAGUAUCAACACACACCAGGCACUAAAAAUAAUAAAGCACAUAUAAGCGUUUUUGAAACCACAAACAGAUACAUACUAAAUCCACAAUAAUGUACAAAAUUGAACUUACUCACAUAAACCCAUCCAUAGUACACAUGCAUAGACAAAUAUAUUGUUAACAUAAUUAUACCCAUCAUGCACAAUUCCGUAACAGUGGUCUUGUUAAUGGAGUGGUUUCAGGCUGGUGCCCGGUUAGCCACCAAUACCCUCUUUGGUUCUGUACCCUCAGUCCUGUAGUAUAUGGAAGGGGCAUAUUACCCUAGACCCAGGGAACUUUACAAAACUUAUUUUCUUUACUGAAAUAUAUAACAUACAGUAUGGACAAAGCAAGUAUCACCCCCAGCUGGGCCAUCCCACCCAACUGCCAGGACCUUCGUCCAAGGGUCUCUGAGCCUGCUGGAAACAGAAACAGUGGGAAGCAGGCCAUUGAUGGGACAGAAGGCAGAUGACAGGUCCAACGCCUCCAAAAUGAGACGUGCAGUGGAAGAAUGGUGAACAAAUGAGAUGGGACCCAGCCAGCAGAAGGGACCCCAGAAAACUGGAUCUCUAAAUCUGAAUGACAGACUAAAGACAGGGAACAUAGAAGAGGGGCAUAGCGUGGUCAUAUCUUAAGCAGGGCUUGCUGUUCCUAUUAUACAGUUCCAGCUGGGGGCGUGAUCACAUGUCAUUAAGAUUCCUCCUGUUCUCUCUGCUUUUCAUUUUCUCCCAAAUAAAAUUUUUCUCCUAAAAUUCCAGUCAGGAAUUCCAAACCUCUGUCCCAUCUUUCCAUUCCCAUGUCAUCCACCCUAUAUCCAUGUGCAGUGCAGGGUGACGGUAAGCAUAGGGUGGGGCAACUAGAUGCAUGUUUUUGGACUUCAGGAAGAAACCAGAGUACCUGGAACGAACCUGCAGAAAUGUGAAGAGAACAUGGAACCCGCACACAGAACCAGGGACACAAAUCAGACUUGACCACGGCUUGAUUUCUAACCCUACACCGUCACUCCACCUGGGCGGAUACUCUGACCUCCCAAGCCCUCUCCCUCCAUCAGACACUAGAGAACUCUAGCAUUUAUGACGACAUAAUGAACUACUGCAUCACAAGUUUCACUGGAUGUCCUAAUUGAAUUAACAGAAAAGCAUCAAGAAUUAGCAUUAAUUGUUUUCAGCAGUGCAACUGACAAUAAGCACCUUCAGCACCACAAAAAAUAUUUUAUAAAGUUUACCUGCUGUACUUCUGCAACAUAACGUAUUGAUGAACAGUAGUGCCACCUAAUAGUGAGGCUGAAGUGGGGUGGCACCUCAGCUGUGCAGCAUUAGAGCUUCUGGUGUCAGUCAGAGAGGGGCUAAUUCUGCUAGAGGAGCAACAUAGCAGUAUACUGACAGGUUGAA